AGCCUAAACCAGCAAGUUGCUGGCAUGGCGAAAAGUAAAGUCCAAACAGGAUAAAAAACCCAUCACAUGGGGUGUCCUGUUUGGCCGUACUGGGAAACUGGUACGAGUGACUUCGGUCACU
rnacentral:sRNA from 1 species